rnacentral:rRNA from 1 species
UACCAGCACCCCGAGUGGUCGGGACGAUUAUUGGGCCUAAAGCAUCCGUAGCCGGUUUUACAAGUCCCCCGUUAAAUCCACCUGCUUAACAGAUGGGCUGCGGAGGAUACUAUAAAGCUAGGAGGCGGGAGAGGCAAGCGGUACUCGAUGGGUAGGGGUAAAAUCCGUUGAUCAUUGAAGACCACCAGUGGCGAAGGCGGCUUGCCAGAACGCGCUCGACGGUGAGGGAUGAAAGCUGGG